rnacentral:rRNA from 1 species
CCUACGGGGGGCAGCAGUGGGGAAUAUUGGACAAUGGGGGCAACCCUGAUCCAGCCAUGCCGCGUGUGUGAAGAAGGCCCUCGGGUUGUAAAGCACUUUCAGUGAGGAAGAACGCCUGGUGGUUAAUACCCAUCAGGAAAGACAUCACUCACAGAAGAAGCACCGGCUAACUCCGUGCCAGCAGCCGCGGUAAUACGGAGGGUGCGAGCGUGAAUCGGAAUUACUGGGCGUAAAGCGCGCGUAGGUGGCUUGAUAAGCCGGUUGUGAAAGCCCCGGGCUCAACCUGGGAACGGCAUCCGGAACUGUCAAGCUAGAGUGCAGGAGAGGAAGGUAGAAUUCCCGGUGUAGCGGUGAAAUGCGUAGAGAUCGGGAGGAAUACCAGUGGCGAAGGCGGCCUUCUGGACUGACACUGACACUGAGGUGCGAAAGCGUGGGUAGCAAACAGGAUUAGAUACCCUAGUAGUC